UUUCAGUCUGGGGAAAUACACAUCCUCGCUGGGAGCCCUGGCACAGCCUGGGCUCGCUGGUGCCGGCCGGGCUGCCUUUGCAGGCGCAGGACGUGCAGGGCAUUAACAGUUUUGGCCAGAAAUGGUGAGAAGAAAAAGCAUGAAGAAGCCGCGAAGUGGAGGAGAAAAGGUGAAGGGAAAUGCAGCUCCUGGAGAAAUUGUAAAAAAAGCCUUGCAAAGAGUUGUCGGAAGGACCGUUAUUCCUGCUGGGCAGGAGCGAGAGGAGAGACCCUGAAACACACGCCACCUAUCUUUGUGGGGAGGGAUAAUUGAAGAGCACCAAACAUACGGAUCGGGGGUGAGGUGGGCUCUCUUCAUGCCUCUCUCCGCUCCUUGGGAAGUAGCUAGACAGGCAGUGAGACGGAGCGGACAAGCAAGCGAGUGGUACUGAACUUCGGGGAGGUUACAAGUUUUUCACCUUUUUAAAGUAUUAAAAUUAAAAUAAAAUUACAUAUUAGAAAAAAA